GCCGUGCUAUCACAAGGCCUUCUGGGACUUGUAGUCUGCGGCUCUGGAACCCAGCAGUGCGCAACCGCCCCUGGGUGGUGCCCUAUUCUGACCCGGAGCACAGGACAUCAGCAGAACUGUCCCUAGAUUGGCUCAGUGGCUCAGCCUGUCACCCAGGACCUUGCCAUCUCUCCCCUCGGACACCCUCCUGGGCAACAUCUUCCCUCAAGGUUGCAGGAUGGCUGCUGGAGAUCCAAAUGUCACAGCAUUACAGGACAAUGUUAACUGCUUUGCCCUAAUCUCGGCUGGGCUUGGUGGGUGGGUUGGCUGGGUUGGCUCCAGGCUGCAGACUGGAUCCAGAUCGGCUCCACGUGUCUCUCGUCCUGCUUGGAUCAGAGUCCACCUGGGGCACAGUCUUCUUCCCAAAGCCCAGUGAAGCCUGAGAGCCACAUCAAACAGCACAAGCACAGUUAAGGUACGGUGGCUCCUGUCAUGUCUGCUAAUAUCCAUCCCACUGGCCAAACCAAGUCACAGGGCCGCACCCAACCUCAAUGGGGCAGGAAGUGCAGUCCCUUCGGAGUGGAGGGAGGUACAGUGAAUAUUUGCUAAACCAAAAUCCAGACUAUCAUAGACAUGCCUGUGGUUUUCUUCAUGGUUUU